GGAGAGAUACAAAAUGAUUCCUAUUGUUACUGUGGUUAGUGUAUUUCUAACUGUUGCUAAUGUUAAUUACCAUCCUUGUGAAGUUACUUGAUAGCCUGUUAUGAUUAUCUAAACAGUGUCAUUGGCGUUAGAAAUCAUUCAUGCAGUGUGAUUUCACUUUGCUUAAUGUGCAUGUUAAUAGUGUUAGUUCAGUUUAGGAAGGGGUGUAUUUGAGAAAUUUCAAUGAUCCCAGUCCCGUUCCAAUGGUUGAAAGGAAACUAAAUCCAAAAUUUUACAACAAUCAAAAUCUGUUUCACUGGUUAUGAUAUGGGACUUGAUUAAUUAGUAAAACUUCUGUAUUUUUCACCAAAAUAAUUGAAAAAUGAAGUUACGAACGUCACUUUGGUUGUGUGGUGCUCCAAGACCUGGUAAGGUGGAAGUUGUCUUCCCUUAUCUACGUCGACACAGGAUUAAAAGCUCAGUUUUUCUGAACCAAGACAAUUAUCUUGAACUAAUAUCUCGACUACUGAAUGGCACACUCUGGUUUUUGCUUCUAACAUCAAAGUCAGGAGAAGAUCAAGUUACAUUGCUAAUGAAUAGCCAUCGAUUAACCUUCAGAGGAUACUGCUUAUAAACAUAAACUACAUAAACUGCAGCUCAUUGUCAUUUCCAACAAAAAAUCACAGGGGAGGAAAUCCAUCACCUUCUAGUGUUCAUUAAGACUAGCAAUUUAGUUUGAAUCUCAAGGAUCUUCACAGCUUCAAGUAUGAACACUUGUGAAUAACAGUUCAGAACUAUAGUGAGGGUGCCAAGACAGAAAAGCCAGUACCCUUAAUAGAGGUUUUCGUGCAACCAAUGCCACUCUACUUGUAGCAUUACUAAAUAAACCCACUUGCCCAAAAAGAAAAAAAAAAUUCAGGGUUGAACUUUGAUUAAAAUUAAAGUGCUUUUAGGAAAGGAGACUUCUGGGGGUUUCCUUUACUUGACACACAAGAAGGAUACAAAAAGGGCAAAAAGUGAAGUCCUACGUGUGGGUGUAUACAUCAAAAGUUAGUGUAGAAAAGUAAGUAUGUCUUAAAGCACAAGGACAGUUAUAGUGUUAUACUUGAUAGUGAGGAAUGGAUAUCAAACAUGCACAACACAAAGGGCAAACAGAAGAGCUUUCUGAAGUGUAAAAAUGACUAAAAGGGAUUGGUUGGCCCCUACUAGAAGGGAAAGAGGUGGUGACAAAGACAUUGUACCAAGAGGAAAAUGUUUUAAUCAUGAUUGGUAUGCAAGGGAAGGGAAAAUAUGUAAAGGAAUAGUGAUUUAGAGACUUCACCCUUGUCCAAGCAAACCUACAGUUUCUUUCUCUUAACUUCUCUACUCUAUUUCCUUCCCACUCUCUCACCUAACAUGAACCAUACCCACUUCACCAAAUGGGGUGGCUGCAAUCCCUCUUCUCCCCAUUGAAGAAGCUCUGGGUUCGUCUGCACUCAGCCCAAAAAAAGAGUAGAGGGAUAUACAUCCUGUACGAGGACGUUAAGUCCUGCCCUUGCGAAGAUGUGCAUGUCCUCUGGUCAAUCUUGGUGGAUCAAACACACCUUCCUUACCAUCAGAAUAAUGAGGUCUAGAAGGCCUGUGAAGAAACUAAAGGAAGGAGUCGUCGUGUACAUAUAAUACAUAAAUCUCAUACAUGCUUAUAUAUUGGCUUCUUUCCUCUUUGCCCCCAGGCACCACUUUCUUCUUUUCUUUUAUUUUCAAGUUUUCCAUGAUCUGUAACUAGAGUUUUAGCAUAUGGGCAUCUUACAUAUAAAAGAUUUUGUUUAGCUCUCAAUCUUGAAGAGCUGCUUUUUUUUUCUUAGAACACUCAUCAUGAAUAUAAAUUGUUGUUGAUAUCA